rnacentral:rRNA from 1 species
GAUGAACGCUAGCGGCAGGCCUAAUACAUGCAAGUCGAGGGGUAACAGGAAUAGCAAUAUUUGCUGACGACCGGCGCACGGGUGCGUAACACGUAUGUAAUCUGCCCAUAUCAGGGGGAUAGCCCGGAGAAAUCCGGAUUAAUACCCCAUAACAGUUGAAGCGGCAUCGCUUUGAUUUGAAAACUACGGUGGAUAUGGAUGAACAUGCGACUGAUUAGUUUGUUGGUGAGGUAACGGCUCACCAAGACUACGAUCAGUAGGGGGUACUGAGAGGUUAAACCCCCACACUGGUACUGAGACACGGACCAGACUCCUACGGGAGGCAGCAGUAAGGAAUAUUGGACAAUGGGCGAGAGCCUGAU